rnacentral:rRNA from 1 species
UACGAAGGUCCCAAGCGUUAUCCGGAUUUAUUGGGUUUAAAGGGUGCGUAGGCGGGCUAUUAAGUCAGUGGUGAAAUCUCCGAGCCUAACUCGGAAAUUGCCAUUGAUACUGAUAGUCUUGAGUACAUUUGAGGCGGGCGGAAUGUGUCAUGUAGCGGUGAAAUGCUUAGAUAUGACACAGAACACCGAUUGCGUAGGCAGCUCGCUAAACUGUAACUGACGCUGAGGCACGAAAGCGUGGGGAGCAAACAGG